CUUCUUGUGCUCUAGAUUGGU
rnacentral:miRNA from 1 species